rnacentral:tRNA from 1 species
UAGGAUGUAGUAUAAGGGUAGUACGUAGAAUUUUGAAUUCUAAUGUAUAGGUUCAAUUCCUGUUGUUCUAG